ensembl:lncRNA
CUAAGUUCCCCUCCACAAUGCUCCACACCACCCCCAGUCCCCCGUUGUACCCACAGAAGCCUCUUUUCCCUCUUUUUCCACCCCACAACUCCCUCUCUUUGCCCCCAGACCUCUUUUCCACCCCAUAGAAGCCCCCCAGAACCCCUCAGUUUCUCCCUUUCACGCCUCCCUCCACCUCCAGACCCCCUUUCCACCCCACAGAAGUCCCAUUCACACCUUCCCUCCUAGAUUCCCCGCAACCCUCCUCUCCACCCCGACUUUCCUUCCACGCCAUGGAAGCCCCACUAACCCUUUUCUUCCCCCCCACAACCCCCCUGUCCAGCACUGGAGUCAUCCAGAAGGAACUAGAGGUGUCCCAGAAGGGUCUUGGGGGUGGCCAGGGUGUCCCCAAGUGGAUCUAGAGGGUCAUUGGAUUAAUCCAGAAGGGUCUGGAGAUGUCCUGGUGGGGUCUUGGGGUGUCCAGGGGGUCUCCCCCUUUUGACUAGCAGACAGGUCCAGCACUGGAGUCAUCCAGAAGGAACUAGAGGUGUCUCAGAAGGGUCCUGGGGUGGCCAGGGUGUCCCCAAAUGGAUCUAGAGGGUCAUUGGAUUAAUCCAGAAGGGUCUGGAGAUGUCCUGGAGGGGUCUUGGGGUGUCCAGGGGGUCUCCCCCUUUUGACUAGCAGAGAGGUUAGGAAUUUCCAAAAGGAAAUGAAUUCCUUAACUGAGGAUCCUAUAAGAGGAGCAGAACAGUUAGAUCAAUUUGUGGAGCCUAAUUUCCUCUCAGGGAUGGCAAUGAUGUUUCUCAUGGGUAUGUUGUUUACUGGAGAAGAAGGAGGUGCAAUUCGGUGGGCAGCUGUGCAAGAGUGGGAAAGGAGUACAGAAGAAAGGUCGGG